rnacentral:rRNA from 1 species
GAUCAUGGCUCAGGAUGAACGGCUGGCGGCGUGCCUAACACAUGCAAGUCGAACGAGCGAGAGAUGAAACCUAGUGAUUCUCGAGCGAGUGGCGGACGGGUGAGUAACGCGUGGGUAACCUGCCUUACAGAGGGGGAUAACAGUCUGAAAAGACUAGCUAAUACCGCAUAAGCACGACAGUACCGCAUGGUACAGGGUGAAAAGAUUUAUCACUGUAAGAUGGACCCGCGUCUGAUUAGCCAGUUGGCAGGGUAACGGCCUACCAAGCGACGAUCAGUAGCCGACCUGAGAGGGUGAUCGGCCACAUUGGGACUGAGACACGGCCCAAACUCCUACGGGAGGCAGCAGUGGGGGAUAUUGCACAAUGGAGGAAACUCUGAUGCAGCCGACGCCGCGUGAGUGAAGAAGUAUUUCGGUAUGUAAAGCUCUAUCAGCAGGGAAGAUAAUGACAGUACCUGACCAAGAAGCCCCGGCUAACUACGUGCCAGCCGCGGC